GGCGCUAUGUGCCCCCUAGCAGUACCGAUCGUAGCCCCUAUGAGAAGAGUGGCAGCAGACGCACCAGGUACGAGGAAAGCCUGAGGACCAGGGCGGUGGCCGAGGAUGCCCCCUCGACGCAUUAUUUCCUCCCUGUCGCAAGAGGGCGCUGCGUCCAGGCACUGAGAGGAAGAAAGAGGAGAACGCGAGGAGUAGCAAGUCCGCGUGGUGGGUACGGGCACCUCGCUGGCGCUCUCCUCCCUCCUGUCCCUGCUGCUCUUUGCUGGGAUGCAGAUGUACAGCCGUCAGCUGGCCUCCACCGAGUGGCUCACCAUCCAGGGCGGCCUGCUUGGUUCGGGUCUCUUCGUGUUCUCGCUCACUGUAUCCUCCCUGCAGUUGGAGGGGGCGGGCCACGUAGGCAUGUGCCCUUCCCCUUCCCCACACAGCUCUGUCCCCGUUGCACACCCUACUCCUUAACUCCCUCAACCAGGCCUUCAAUAAUCUGGAGAAUCUUGUCUUUGGCAAAGGAUUCCAAGCAAAGAUCUUCCCUGAGAUUCUCCUGUGCCUCCUGUUGGCUCUCUUUGCAUCUGGCCUCAUCCACCGAGUCUGUGUCACCACCUGCUUCAUCUUCUCCAUGGUUGGUCUGUACUACAUCAACAAGAUCUCCUCCACCCUGUACCAGGCAGCAGCUCCAGUCCUCACACCAGCCAAGGUCACAGGCAAGAGCAAGAAGAGAAACUGACCCUGAAUGUUCAAUAAAGUUGAUUCUUUGU
rnacentral:lncRNA from 1 species